UCUACUGCUGGUCCAUUUGUGUGUUGCAGCUAUCCCAAUGUUAACCUCUAGCCUGAUCCCAGAUCUGGCAUGCCAAGGCACGACAAUGACCAAAGAUGUUGGCAAGACCGCACAAACAGAUCUGGGACCAGGCUAGACAGUCCAUGUAUUAAGAUAAAGCCUAGUAGUGCCAUUAUACAUGUAUGUUCAGGAUGUUGAUGUGAUAUCCUAUUUGUUAUGAUGAUCAUGAUGAUGACAUUGUAUUAGGGUUGUAACUUCCUGAAAAUUCCCCAGUUUUCCAGAAAUUCCUGUUGUAAGAUUCCUGGAAUCGGGAGGGAAUAAGCAGAAAACCCAGGAAUCUUCUACUGGAAUUUCUGGAAAAAUCUGUCAAGUUUUAGAAAGUUACUGUAGUUCUCCAACCCUACAUUGUAUCUAUGCACUGUACUUUCCACCAGUAUGAUAUCAGCCUCUGACAGGCAGGCAGUGAAUGUGCCUUGGAGGUUGUCUCCCAAAUAGCACCCUAUUCCCUAUAUAGUGCACUACUUUUGACCAACCGUUGAAUGUUUUAACCAGGGUACGUAUUGAUGUUUAACCUACAGUUCUAGCCGAUUGGCCUACAUGCUGUCUUGUCACCUUCUAUUGCUUGUGUUCCACGUGCAGUAUACUUCCUGGUACAAACUACCACAUGGUACAGGUUGACAUUCUCAACCCAGGGAUCCAGAACCAUAGAAUUAGAAUCUAGAAUUCAUGCGGAACACUAACCACAUAUACCCAGUUGUACUCUAUACAAGAGACUGGCAGUUACAUGUUUCUUUUAAACUUUCGUCGACCUAUUUUAUGAAAUAAUCAGCCUUUUUAUCGAAGGGUUCGUUCAUUCGGUUGUGAUGAUACUGAUGUGAUCUUAAAUGUUACAUUGUUGUGCCCUCCUGUACCUUUUUUUAGGAAGACACUCCUGUCCUUGGCCUUUCUCCCUGGAAAUACUCAUGUCCUUAUCAUGGUUUUCCACUAGCCUUCAUUCAGUCACAGAUAACACUAUAGCAUGGUUUUCCACUAGCCUACAUUCAGUCACAGAUAACACUAUAGCAUGGUUUUACACUAGCCUACAUUCAGUCACAGAUAACACUAUAGCAUGGUUUUUACACUAGCCUACAUUCAGUCACAGAUAACACAUAUGCAAAUGGGAACGUAUUAACUAAGACAAACACUAAUUUCCAUAUGCAACAUCUGGGUGCUUCAGCUUGUUUUCAGGUUACUGAUUAGCCACAUCACCAUGACUGCAUUUUUAAUGAUUCCAUCAGCCAACAUCGCAGUUUGUUUUUAUCGUUGAACUGUGAGCGUGGAACUGUCUAGCCCGCAACCUGCCUUGAGAGGAGUUUAAUUUGAUACCUGAUAUACUGUCCACCUCUGUGCCUGAACUUUGUAGCUGUGUUAUACGGUCCAUCCUCUGUGCCUGAACUUUGUAACUGUGUUAUACUGUCAUCCUGUGCCUGAGCUUUGUAGCUGUGUUAUACGUCCAUCCUCUGUGCCUGAACUUUGUAACUGUGUUAUACUGUCCAUCCUGUGCCUGAACUUUGUAACUGUGUUAUACUGUCCAUCCUGUGCCUGAGCUUUGUAGCUGUGUUAUACUGUCCAUCCUCUGUGCCUGAACUUUGUAACUGUGUUAUACGGUCCAUCCUCUGUGCCUGAACUUUGUAACUGUGUUAUACUGUCCAUCCUCUGUGCUAACUUUGAACUGGGUUAUACUGUCCAUCCUCUGUGCCGGAACUUUGUAACUGUGUUAUACUGUCCAUCCUCUGUGCCUGAACUUUGUAACUGUGUUAUACUGUCCAUCCUUUCCGAACUUGUUAACUGUGUAUACUGGUCCAUCCUCUGUGCCUGAGCUUUGUAGCUGUGUUAUACUGUCCAUCCUCUGUGCCUGACUUUGUAACUGUGUUAUACUGUCCAUCCUCUGUGCCUGAGCUUUGUAACUGUGUUAUAUGUCCUCCUGUGCCUGAACUUUGUAACGUGUUAUACUGUCCAUCCUGUGCCUGAGCUUUGUAGCUGUGUUAUACUGUCCAUCCUCUGUGCCUUAACUUAACUGUGUAUACUGUCCAUCCUCUGUGCUGAGCUUGUACUGUGUUAUACUGUCCAUCCUCUGUGCCUGAGCUUUGUAACUGUGUAUACUGUCCAUCCUCUGUGCCUGAACUUUAACUGUUUCCAACCUAGUAAAUCACAUUUACCACUAUGUUUUGUGUGACUACCUUAUGUAUGUGGGUGUUCUUUGGAUAGAUUGUUGAUGCCAAACAUUUUUGAAAGGCAUACUUCCAAUGUGCCAACAAAGCAACAAAACAAACUUCAGUUUCUUAGCAGCAGGCCAGCAUUCUGGAGUCGCCUCCACUGUUGAGUUGAGACUGGUGUUUGUGGGUGCUAUUUAAUGAAGCUGCCAGUU
rnacentral:lncRNA from 1 species